AAGGACUGUUUGUUUGUUGUUAUUCUGGUGCUAUGCUUUCCAGGGACGUGGUUAAGAUUGGACUUCCCCACCCCCUUGAAAUGAGGCACAGCCUGUAAUUAGGUGUGGCCAGUAUAAUGUGGGCAGAAGUCUUUAAGAUGUAGUACACCGAUUACAUUCACUUCCUCUGGCCACCAGUUCCAGAUGGUGGAGUCUUUUUCAGGCUUUACCCCCAAGUGAAGUCAAAUCCACUCUUUGCCCCUCACCAGCUGAUGCAUAAUGGACAUGUAAUUUGAGACAGAAAUACUUACUUUCCAUAAUUUCAUUUUUUCCCCUGCCUAUUAUGGAAAUUGCUAUCAGGAGUGGGGCGCUAACAUAGCAAGAAAAGUGUAUUUGUCAUUGGUUCGAAGGACAGGUUGUGGGCAGUGAAGAGACUGUUGCAGAGUUUGGAGAGGUGACAUGUUUUAUAGUGGCAGAAAGUUUAGUUAACCUGCUGCCCACAGUGACUUGGAGGGCAAAUUACAUGCCUAAUGCAUUUGUAGCUCCGGAGAAAGAAGUAGGACACAGAAUGUUAGUAAUGUGUAUUGGUUUCUGUUGGUUGAACUUGACAAGGUGAUAUGUGAGACAAGGUCAGAAAAAAAAUUAGCUGGAUUCCAAGUAGGGAUUAAUGGGAAAUUUGAGACUUUACGAUGUUGGAAAGGCUAUAAUUUUAAAUUCCAAACAGUAGAAGAUAAAAUUAGUGACUUUAGGCAAUUAAAAUAAUAUUAUAAUGGAGCCUUGAAGCAAAGGGCAUGCUAUUUUGUUAAAAAUCAUUUAACUGACUAUAUUUUCCUGGUCAUCACACUACCAUUAUGAAACCCCCUGGAAGGACUAACAUGCACCAAAGUGAAGAUCUAAGUAAGAGAUGUCUUUGAAGAAAAUUGUGGAUAUGGCUGCUAGCACAUGGAGUUUUUCUGGAAUCAAAUAGACACAAAGCAGAUGAAGUUCUUGCAAGAGGUGUACUUUCAAGGGAAUAACUGGUUGAACUAAAAAAGACUGGAAACAUGAAGGAGUUAAAGUGACCCCUGGCCACCAACCCAGCAGGGCAGGACAGGGUGAGAAAGCAGAACAGCCCUUAGGCAAAGCUUGUUCCUAAUACCUGCUUCUUGAGUUAUGCCAAGGAGCACAAUGGAAAGGCGGCCAGAGGCCACAACGGCCAUGGGUCAUGAGCUCCUCACUCAGGCUUGUUUCAGGGCUCUGUCCCCACCCAGGGCAGACCUCAGAUUAUUUGUCCUGGAGAUUUUGGAACUGCCAAACACCAGUGCCUACUGUCUCUGUUCCAUUUUCCCUCUUCCCGAACAGGAAUGCCUGUGGAGGUUGUCUGUUCCUCUUACCGCCGGUGUAAACUGUGCGAGAGCACGGGAUAGAUAACAGGUUUUCAGUUCAUGGCCUCCGGAACACGAGGGCUCAUGUGCAGGACCAGUGUGGUUACUGUGAACCACCUCCUGCUAUAGACUAAAUUGUAUCCCCUUAAUUUUUAAUUGUAAUAUUUUGAAUUAGUGCAUAUUAAUCAUACAGAAUGGGUUUCAUUGUGCAUAUUUGUACGUGCAUAUAAUAUACUUGAUCAUAUUCACUUCCUUUCUCCUUUCCCCUGAUUCCCUUCCUCUUUUGUAAUAUUGUCCCUUCUACUAUCAUGUUCUCUUCUUUUUCCCCUAGAUUCCACAUAUGAGAGAAAACAUGUGAUUCUUAUCUUCCUGAGUCUGGCUUAUAUUGCUUAACAAAAUAAUGGAUGAACUCAAGUUUCAUCUAUUUUCCUGCAAAUGACAUGAUUUUGUUUUUCUUUGUGGCUAAAUAAUACUCCAUUGUGUAUGUAUAACACAUUUUCUUUGUCCCUUAAAAUUUGUAUGUUCAAUCCCUGACCUCCAUUGUGAUUGUAUGUGGAGACUGGGCCUUUAAAGGGACAGUUAGGGUUAAAUGAGGUCAUAUGGUGAGCCCUGGUCCCAUCUGACUGGUGUCCAUAUAAGAAGAAGACACCCGUGACGCGGCCUCACAAAGGGAAGGUCGGAUGAGGAUACAGUGAGGACGUGGCACCUGCCAAUCAAGGAGAGAGGUCUCAGGAAAAAUCAGUCCUGAAGAUACCUUGAUCUUGAACUUCCAGCCUCCAGAAUUGUGAGAAAUAGAUUCUACUGUUUAACCUACCCAUUGUUACGGAGCCAUCUGUUCUUAUGGUGGCCUAGCAAGCUAACAGACUCUGGAUGAAGGUACAGAGCACCACCCAGAAGUACUGGAUCCAUGACUGGAUGGGAUUUUGAGAUGUCUUUCUUGGGAGGAGAAUAAAAUAAUUUUAAGGGAAGAAAACUGAGCUGACUAUUGGGCAAGCAGAGGGUUGGACUGUAGUGGUGAUUAGGACUCUUGCCCAGUAUUCCAGCAUGGUGGGGUUGAACUUCCAUGCCCCCUUGAACAGAGGCAUGCGGUGUGGCUCACCCAGCAGGUGCAAUGUGAGUAGAAUUGACAGGUGGUUCUCCUAGUCAGACCCUCUUUGGAGCUGAAGCACCAUUUGCUAUGUUCUCUUCCCCUGUCAUUCAGCCUAUGAUUUCAGAUGGUGGAGUGUCGCCAACUUGUAUCCCUGAGUGCAGAUGAUGGGGAGCAGAGUCCCAGCCAAUCCACACAAAUCACAAGCAUUGGUGAGGCUACUGAAUCACUGUCAGAAGAACAUGCUUUAAGUUAGUUUGUCGGUGGUGCUGAUGGAUUCCCUUGAAACCAGUCAUGCUUCUCUGCUCUGUUGCCUCUGGGUUGUGUGUAGCUACUUUUCGGAGCCAAGCCUUGCCUCAAGCCCACAGCGUCAGCUGCACUCACUGUACAGAGUUGGCCAAAGAGGCAGAGCCACAACUGGUGUGCAGCUUGUAUGUGGAUUGUAAGCCAGGAAGAGCAACAGGCAAAAGGCGUCAAUCAGAACAGUACGCUCCAGGAACAUCUGUCGCACGCCUUUCUGAAUAAUGAGCGUUACAAGGAAUUUUUACCACAUUCAGUUCCACUCCUUGUUGACACAACCGUGAGUGUAGUCUGGAAAUUGUUAUAAUAGGGGGUGAAGUCUAAUCAACCACACUCUGUCGUGUGCAUGCAUGAACACAUCACGGUGAAUUCCAGUUUUAGGUAUGACUGUGAUGCACCCAUUAAAAAAGACUAGUUCAAAACUUCCUGCAGAAUAGAACAACUGCUGUCAUUGCAUGCUUGGGCGUUUCUUCUCACAAUACUUUGGAAAGCAGAGAACCUCACAGAAGCUUCCAGAAGAUGUCUUCUGCAACUUUUGUUUGAGCAGCUAUUUUGUGACCUUGCCUCUCCUUCUUACAACUGAGAGGCCCAAGGGGACUCUACACAAACUGUGUCCUUCCCUAGGAGUUUCGACAUAGCAUCUAGAAUGUACGGCCAGUCUCUCAUGGAGGCAGAGGUUGAAGAGACAGCUGGGAGAUGUUGACAGGGUGGUCUCGCUCUCCAGAAGGUCUGUGGGGAAAGAUGGAAGAAGGAAGCAGGGAAUGGAGGCCAGAGGAGAAGGAGGAGCCUGGCAGUGUGCAGGGGCCUGGCUGCAUGUCCUCACACCGUCGCGAGACAGAGAUCAUUCGCUCCGUGGAACACGAACCGGGUCCCGAUCUCCACUGGCCUGGCAUCAGAGGAUCCCGAUCUCCACUGGCCUGGCGUCAGAGGCUGAAGUCCAAAAUCAAGGUGUUAGCAGGGCUGCUUCCCACUGGGGGCUCUGAAGAGAGAACCUGUUCCAGCCGCCCCCUUGCCUGGGUGGGGGGCGACCUCGGUGUGCCUCCACUGCGGGAGUGACCCCACUCUGCUCCUGCUCCCACCGCACUCUCCCUGCCUCUCUCCCCAUGGGCCGUCUUCCUCUGUGUGCGUCUGUCUCUGGGUCUCAAUCUCUUGAUAAAGACAGCAGUCAGGCUGGAUUUGGGGCCCCUCCUAAUGAUGUAAUCUUAACCUGAUUGCAUCUGCCAAGGUCUUACUUAAAAGUAAGAUCACAUUCACAGAUACUAGGAUUUCGUGAGGGAGCUGUGUCAUUAACAGACCAAACACACUGUGUCUUUCUACAAUGUCAAAAUUUGUUGGAUAAAUAAAUUCGCAGG